UUCAGUCAAAACAAACUACAAUGUGAGUGUUCAUGGUGAUGAAGAAACAACAGUGUGGCUCACUGUUUCUAUUAGAAGAAGAUGAACCAAGCUGAGACAGUCUGCGAUCUGAAACACAGACAGAUAGAGCAGACCAUCAUCUGAUUAACUGUGAUGAGAAAAACCACAUGACUGGAUAACUGAAGAUGAGAAGAAGAGAACAGCAAUUCUGUUGGUGUGAUCCAGGUGCUUCGUAUGACCACUCAUCCACCCUGACAUCUUUACCAGGAGGAUGUCCAGCAGUCACCAUUUGAGAAGAGGUGAUGUCAGAAAAAGAGGCUGAAGGCUAAACAAGCAGAAGGACUGAGUGAAGAAGAGGGAGGUGGUGGUAGACAGACAGCGACAGC